rnacentral:lncRNA from 1 species
GUUGAAGGAGUGUUAGAGAUCCAAGCUUGGAAACCUGGCAAGAUCUUAGUUUACCAACCCAUGUUGUAAAGUACCGCAGCUGGACAGAGUGGAAGCUCUGAAGACCUUUGCUCUGAACAAGUAAUUGAGAAGGGAAGAUGAGAGGGCAAUAGUACAGCACAAGUCAAGCAUGGGGGCUUUGGCAGAACUUAUUGAGCAAAGUAAGUAAUUAAGCCCAUCCAGAGAAGGCAGUUUUUGAGCUGGGUAUUAGGAAAUAUGUAAGAUUUCUAUAGGUGGAGAAGGAGAUGUCAGGCAUUCCUGAAUGAGAAAAUACAUUGAGCAAAAAGGCACAGACGUGGACACCUGUAGGUGGGGGCUAGGAUUGGGGCUGGUAACAACUGAAGGGAUGAAAUGGAAGGUGAGGCUGGAAAGGCAGGUUAGCCAAAUUUGAAAUUUAGAUAAUUGAUAUAUGUUGCAUGGAACCUGAAUGAUAGCAUGUCUGAGUAUAUUGCAAAAGAAGACAGUACCUGUUGGCCAAGGAAGGAUGCAGCCCAGUCUAUUCCCUGCUGUAAAGUUGAAAACAAAAGGAAGGUUAGGACAGACAGGGAAGCCCUAGACUCUGAGGGUUGUGUGAGUUCAGGAUAACCGCGUGUGGUUUAGAAAAGACAGGGAGAGAGCUGAUAGCUAGGAAAAAUCCCAGAAUUGGGAAAGUACUGCCCACCCCAAAGUAAACUGUUUGAGUGUAGAGACCCUGCUUAGGUUUUCCUUGAUGUAAACUCAGUGCCUACACAGUGUUAGGCACUUAGUAGGUGCUCAUAUAUUUGUCUAAUAAAAGAAUAAAUGGGCCAGGCACAGUGGCUUAUGCCUGUAAUCCCAGCACUUUGGGAGGCCGAGGCGGGCAGAUCACAAGGUUAAGAGAUCGAGACCAUCCUGGCCAACAUGGUGAAACCUCAUCUCUACUAAAAAUACAAAAGUAGCCGGGCAUGGUGGCACAUGCCUGUAAUCCCAGCUACUUGGGAGGCUGAGGCAGGAGAAUCGCUUGAACCCGGGAGGCGGAGGUUGCAGUGAGCCGAGAUUGCACCACUGCACUCCAGCCUGGGCAACAAGAGCAAAACUCCGUCUCAAAAGAAAAAAAAAAGAAUAAAUGAUCUGCAGUUUAUGAGAAAUGUCAGGAUGAAAGAGAGAGAAAACACUGAGAGGGACAAUAUUAGAGCUGUAUUAAAUCUGAAUUGGUUAUUGCAGACCCAUCAAAAAGGAAAUAUGUUCAGCUUGGCAUGAUACAGUCGUACCUAUCCUGACUCUGAGUAGGCUAUUGCUUCUCUAAGAGCUUACUAACCAUCUGUUUAAUAACUCGUUUUCAGAAUUUUUCCAGAGUCAAUGUGAAGUUCACUGGACUGAGUUCCCAGAAUUGACCAUUUCUCUUUUUUUUCCAUCUGUUUUUCUCUAUUCCUCCAUCAUGCUUUGGCUCUCCACUUUUUCUAAGACCUCUAUAACUGUUCAUGUAAGCACGUUUGUUCAUUUCCCCUAUUCUACAACCAUCCCCUUUUUGUGCAUUUUGCUUGAAAUGUAACUUUAAAAAUAGUUUCUUCUCCCAAGUUUGCAGAGCUUGGCCUAUUCUGGACUUUUAACUUUCCAGAAUUUUUUUUUUUCUUUGACAGGGUCUCACUCUGUCACCCAGGCAGGAGCGCAGUGGCGAAAUCUUUCCUCACUGCAACCCGGGCUCAAGCAAUUUUUUCACCUCAGCCUCCCCAGUAGCUGGAACUACUACAGGCACAUGCCACCAUAUCCACUUGAUUUUUGUGUUUUUUAUAGAGAUGGGGUUUUGCCACAUUGCCCAGGCUGGUUUGGAACUCCUGGGCUCAAACAAUCUGCCCCCCUUAGGCUCCCCAGAAACUAUUCUUAAAAGUGUUAGCAAAAAAAAAAAAAAAAAGUGUAGGCCAAGCACAGUGGCUCAUGCCUGUAAUCCCAACACUUAGGGAGGCAGAGGCAGGAGGAUACCUUGAGCCUAAGAGUUAGAGACCUGCCUGGGCAAUACAGCAAGACCCUUUUCUGCACAAAAAGGAAAAAAGAAAGACACAAAAAAAGUGGUAGCUAUUCAUUCUUACAUGCAUACCCCUUCUCCAUCAGCUAUUUUUUUCCUGCAAGUCCCUUUAAAAGUAGAGGUAUUCGGAAACCAUAACCCAUCAUAUUUUUGGCUGCUCAUGGUAGUCUCAGAAUUUAAUUUCUGAAAAGAUCCUAUCCCUUUUGAGCUAACUUACUUAUUAAGACUCCCUGGAAUCUUCUCUAAUACUUCUUUGACAUUUUAGAAAUCUGAACGUCUAAAGUUGAGUUCACACGUUUCUUCAUACCCAACAUUGUCUGCCUUGAUUAUCACAAAUUAUUAUGCUUUGUCUAAAGUUUUGAUCUGACUUAAAUCCAAAGCAACACAUCCCUUUAUGGCCUCCCCUACGUCUUGCGAGAUGAAAUGGACAACAGGAGAAAGUGAAAAUACAUGAGAUGAUUUAUUUUGAAUGAGUUAAGAUUUCCAAUAGCUGUCUGCAUAAUUGGAAAACCCCAAAAAAACUUUCUCUUACCUUUUGGAUACAUGGUUUUGUGAAUUAUAUUGGGAAAAUCUACAUAUUAUAGGCCUGGGUAUCAGGAAACACAUGGCACAUUUAAAGGCUAAUUGAAGAGAAUUUAAUGAAGGAAUAAAGGUGUUAAGGAAAACAAACAAGGGAUAGUUAGACAUCCAGGGACUAGCAACAGCUGGAGUUUUUACCAUCUCUAGGCCUGAAGGGAGAAGAGGAUGGAGGUGUUAUCAGAACCCAGGGAGAGGUUUAUUAUUAACAAUUUGCCAGGGGCCGGACGCGGUGGCUCACGCCUGUAAUCCCAGCACUUUGGGAGGCCAAGACGGGUGGAUCACCUGAGGUCAGGAGUUCAAGACCAGCCUGUU